GACGAACGCUGGCGGCGUGCUUAACACAUGCAAGUCGAACGGUGAAGGGGAGCUUGCUCCCCGGAUCAGUGGCGAACGGGUGAGUAACACGUGGGCAACCUGCCCCAGACUUCGGGAUAACGCUUCGAAAGAGGUGCUAAUACCGGAUACGAACUCCUUGGGCAUCCGGGGAGUUGGAAAGUUUUUCGGUCUGGGAUGGGCCCGCGGCCUAUCAGCUUGUUGGUGAGGUAACGGCUCACCAAGGCGACGACGGGUAGCCGGCCUGAGAGGGCGACCGGCCACACUGGGACUGAGACACGGCCCAGACUCCUACGGGAGGCAGCAGUGGGGAAUAUUGCGCAAUGGGCGAAAGCCUGACGCAGCAACGCCGCGUGAGGGAUGACGGCCUUCGGGUUGUAAACCUCUUUCAGCAGGGAAGAAGCGAAAGUGACGGUACCUGCAGAAGAAGCACCGGCUAACUACGUGCCAGCCGCCGCGGUAA
rnacentral:rRNA from 1 species